rnacentral:rRNA from 1 species
AACGAACGUUAGCGGCGCGCCUAACACAUGCAAGUCGAACGCGACAGGGGCAACUCUGUUGAGUGGCGCACGGGUGAGUAACACGUAGGUAAUCUCCCCCCGAGUGGUGGAUAACCUUCCGAAAGGAGGGCUAAUACAGCACAAGACCACGGCUUCGAAAGGAGCUGAGGUCAAAGCGGAGGAUCGCAAGACUUCGCGCUUGGGGAUGAGCCUGCGGCCCAUCCGGUAGUUGGCGGGGUAACAGCCCACCAAGCCUAAGACGGGUAGCUGGUCGGAGAGGAUGAUCAGCCACACUGGAACUGGGACGCGGUCCGGACUCCUACGGGAGGCAGCAGUGGGGAAUCUUGCGCAAUGGACGAAAGUCUGACGCAGCGACGCCGCGUGGGUGAUGAAGGCCUUCGGGUUGUAAAGCCCUGUGGGGAGGGACGAAUAAGUUUCAGCUAAUACCUGAAGCGAUGACGGUACCUCCUUAGCAAGCACCGGCUAACUCUGUGCCAGCCGCCGCGGUAA